rnacentral:rRNA from 1 species
AGGGAUAGCCCANANNNNNNNNNGAUUAAUACCUUAUAGUAUUAUAAAAUGGCAUCAUUUAAUAAUUAAAGAUUUAUCGGAACAAGAUGAGCAUGCGUCCCAUUAGCUAGUUGGUAUGGUAACGGCAUACCAAGGCAAUGAUGGGUAGGGGUCCUGAGAGGGAGAUCCCCCACACUGGUACUGAGACACGGACCAGACUCNUACGGGAGGCAGCAGUGAGGAAUAUUGGACAAUGGGCGCAAGCCUGAUCCAGCCAUGCCGCGUGCAGGAAGACGGUCCUAUGGAUUGUAAACUGCUUUUAUACAGGAAGAAACAACUNUNCNUGUAGAGUCUUGACGGUACUGUAGGAAUAAGGAUCGGCUAACUCCGUGCCAGCAGCCGCGGUAAUACGGAGGAUCCAAGCGUUAUCCGGAAUCAUUGGGUUUAAAGGGUCCGUAGGCGGGCUUAUAAGUCAGUGGUGAAAUCUCCCAGCUCAACUGGGAAACUGCCAUUGAUACUGUAGGUCUUGAAUUAUUAGGAAGUAACUAGAAUAUGUAGUGUAGCGGUGAAAUGCUUANAUAUUACAUGGAAUACCAAUUGCGAAGGCAGGUUACUACUAAUACAUUGACGCUGAUGGACGANAGCGUGNGUAGCGAACANGAUUANAUACNCUGGUAGUCCACGCCGUANACGAUGGANACUANCUGUUCNGANCANUCUGAGUGGCU